AGAGUUUGAUCAUGGCUCAGAUUGAACGCUGGCGGCAGGCCUAACACAUGCAAGUCGAACGGUAACAGGAAGCAGCUUGCUGCUUUGCUGACGAGUGGCGGACGGGUGAGUAAUGUCUGGGAAACUGCCUGAUGGAGGGGGAUAACUACUGGAAACGGUAGCUAAUACCGCAUAACGUCGCAAGACCAAAGAGGGGGACCUUAGGGCCUCUUGCCAUCGGAUGUGCCCAGAUGGGAUUAGCUAGUUGGUGGGGUAAAGGCUCACCAAGGCGACGAUCCCUAGCUGGUCUGAGAGGAUGACCAGCCACACUGGAACUGAGACACGGUCCAGACUCCUACGGGAGGCAGCAGUGGGGAAUAUUGCACAAUGGGCGCAAGCCUGAUGCAGCCAUGCCGCGUGUAUGAAGAAGGCCUUCGGGUUGUAAAGUACUUUCAGCGGGGAGGAAGGGAGUAAAGUUAAUACCUUUGCUCAUUGACGUUACCCGCAGAAGAAGCACCGGCUAACUCCGUGCCAGCAGCCGCGGUAAUACGGAGGGUGCAAGCGUUAAUCGGAAUUACUGGGCGUAAAGCGCACGCAGGCGGUUUGUUAAGUCAGAUGUGAAAUCCCCGGGCUCAACCUGGGAACUGCAUCUGAUACUGGCAAGCUUGAGUCUCGUAGAGGGGGGUAGAAUUCCAGGUGUAGCGGUGAAAUGCGUAGAGAUCUGGAGGAAUACCGGUGGCGAAGGCGGCCCCCUGGACGAAGACUGACGCUCAGGUGCGAAAGCGUGGGGAGCAAACAGGAUUAGAUACCCUGGUAGUCCACGCCGUAAACGAUGUCGACUUGGAGGUUGUGCCCUUGAGGCGUGGCUUCCGGAGCUAACGCGUUAAGUCGACCGCCUGGGGAGUACGGCCGCAAGGUUAAAACUCAAAUGAAUUGACGGGGGCCCGCACAAGCGGUGGAGCAUGUGGUUUAAUUCGAUGCAACGCGAAGAACCUUACCUGGUCUUGACAUCCACGGAAGUUUUCAGAGAUGAGAAUGUGCCUUCGGGAACCGUGAGACAGGUGCUGCAUGGCUGUCGUCAGCUCGUGUUGUGAAAUGUUGGGUUAAGUCCCGCAACGAGCGCAACCCUUAUCCUUUGUUGCCAGCGGUCCGGCCGGGAACUCAAAGGAGACUGCCAGUGAUAAACUGGAGGAAGGUGGGGAUGACGUCAAGUCAUCAUGGCCCUUACGACCAGGGCUACACACGUGCUACAAUGGCGCAUACAAAGAGAAGCGACCUCGCGAGAGCAAGCGGACCUCAUAAAGUGCGUCGUAGUCCGGAUUGGAGUCUGCAACUCGACUCCAUGAAGUCGGAAUCGCUAGUAAUCGUGGAUCAGAAUGCCACGGUGAAUACGUUCCCGGGCCUUGUACACACCGCCCGUCACACCAUGGGAGUGGGUUGCAAAAGAAGUAGGUAGCUUAACCUUCGGGAGGGCGCUUACCACUUUGUGAUUCAUGACUGGGGUGAAGUCGUAACAAGGUAACCGUAGGGGAACCUGCGGUUGGAUCACCU
rnacentral:rRNA from 2 species